UCUACUGUUUAUAGUGUUAACAUCUCCUCUAACCCUUUCUACGUUUUAUAGUGUUACACUCCUCCAACCCUUCUACUGUUUAUAGUGAUACAUCUCCUCCAACCCUCUCUGCUACUGUUUAUAGUGAUACACUCCUCCAACCCUUCUACUGCUACUGUUUAUAGUGAUACAUCUGCCUCCAACCCUUCUUACUGUUUUAUAGUGAUACAUCUCCUCCAACCCUUCUACUGUUUAUAGUGAUACAUCUCCUCCAACCCUUCUACUGUUUAUAGUGAUACACUCUCCUCCAACCCUUUCUACUGCUACUGUUUUAUAGUGUUACAUCUCCUCCAACCCUUCUACUGUUUAUAGUGUUCAUCUCCUCCAACCCUUCUACUGCUAUGUUUAUAGUGAUACAUCUCCUCCAACCUUCUACUGUUAUAGUGAUACAUCUCCUCCAACCUUCUACUGUUUAUAGUGUUACAUCUCCUCAACCCUUCUACUGCUACUGUUUAUAGUGAUACAUCUCCUCCAACCCUUCUACUGUUUAUAGUGAUACAUCUCCUCCAACCCUUCUACUGCUACUGUUUAUAGUGAUACAUCUCCUCCAACCCUUCUACUGCUACUGUUUAUAGUGUUACAUCUCCUCCAACCCUUCUACUGUUUAUAGUGAUACAUCUCCUCCAACUCUUCUACUGUUUAUAGUGAUACAUCUCCUCCAACCCUUCUACUGCUACUGUUUAUAGUGAUACAUCUCCUCCAACCUUCUUACUGCUACUGUUUUUUCAGGCGUUUGGACGUAUGGGCCAUGGGAGUAACUCUCUACUGCUUUGUGUUUGGAAGGUUAAGCCAACAGUCCAUUUUUACUCCUCUUGUUACUCUCCCAGCCUGCCCACAACUUGUUU
rnacentral:lncRNA from 1 species